rnacentral:tRNA from 4 species
CGGGACGUAGCUCAGCUUGGAAUAGAGCGCACGCUUGGGGUGCGUGAGGUCGCUGGUUCGAAUCCAGUCGUCCCGA